GACGAACCGAGCGAACGUUGUUCGGAAUCACUGGGCUUAAAGGGCGCGUAGGCGGGCUGUCAAGUUUGGGGUGAAAUCCCGCGGCUCAACCGUGGAACUGCCUCAAAUACUGACGGUCUCGAGGGGAGUAGGGCGGAGCGGAACUAAUAGGUGGAGCGGUGAAAUAGCGUCGAUAUCAUUAGGAACUCCGGUGGCGAAGGCGGCUCGCUGGAUCUCUUCUGACGCUGAGGCGCGAAAGACUAGGGGAGC
rnacentral:rRNA from 1 species